UCUAUCAUUAGCCCUUCCCACUGCAGAUUACUACACCUGAGCAAGCCAUUUUAAUGCUGCUUAUACAGACACUGCAGAGAAAUGGGAACUUUUUGGGAGCAAUUCAUCUGUGACCUCUUGUAGAUAUCUCAGAGAGUAAUGAAGCAUCUGGUCUUAUUCAUGGCCACUGGAACCGGGGUGACUCACUUGGAGCUGUUUAGGGAGUCCUUUCAGGGAUGGGUAAUCAUGCUGAUGCAUCCAUGGGACUGAAGCAGAACACAGAAGCCAAAUGAUAGUUUGCCCACCUCAGCAGCAGGUCCUCUGGAGACAACUUCAUCAGAUCCUCCAGGCUCUCUCCUUCUCUCAGAAGAGCGAUUAAGGCUAAGCAGGGAUGGGAAAAAAAAAAAAACAAAACAAAAAAACAAACAAGAAAAAAAUAAUAAUGUGAAUACUUUCGGAGGAGAAUGUAUGGCUGUUUUCUCUCUAAAGCGCUCCAGGUGAAGUCUCACCAGAGUAGAGGGACAGAAUCACCUCCCUUGACCUGCUAGCCACACAUGUUUUGAUGCAGCCCAGGAUACAUGUCUGAUCACAGGGAGCAGGGGAAUACAGUAUCUCCU